CCUCGUCGAUCUGCUGCGGGCAGAUGAAAUGGAUAUGCGCGUCGACGCCGCCGGCCGUGAGGAUCUUGCCCUCGCCUGCUAUGGCUUCCGUACCCGGGCCGAUGACGAUGGUGACACCGGGCUGCGUAUCCGGGUUGCCGGCCUUGCCGAUGGCGACGAUCCGCCCGUCCUUCAACCCGACAUCCGCCUUCACGAUGCCCCAGUGGUCGACGAUCAGCGCAUUGGUGAUGACGGUGUCGACCGCGCCCUCGGCGCGGCUCGCCUGGCUCUGACCCAUGCCGUCGCGGAUG
rfam:Bosea sp. 67-29 SCNpilot_expt_1000_bf_scaffold_308, whole genome shotgun sequence.